AGCGAACGCUGGCGGCAGGCUUAACACAUGCAAGUCGAACGCCCCGCAAGGGGAGUGGCAGACGGGUGAGUAACACGUGGGAACGUACCCUUUGGUUCGGAAUAACUUGGGGAAACUCAAGCUAAUACCGGAUAAGCCCUUAUGGGGAAAGGUUUACUGCCGAAGGAUCGGCCCGCGUCUGAUUAGCUAGUUGGUGAGGUAAUGGCUCACCAAGGCGACGAUCAGUAGCUGGUCUGAGAGGAUGAUCAGCCACACUGGGACUGAGACACGGCCCAGACUCCUACGGGAGGCAGCAGUGGGGAAUUUUGGACAAUGGGCGCAGGCCUGAUCCAGCCAUGCCGCGUGGGUGAUGAAGGCCCUAGGGUUGUAAAGCCCUUUCGGCGGGGAAGAUAAUGACGGUACCCGCAGAAGAAGCCCCGGCUAACUUCGUGCCAGCAGCCGCAGUAA
rnacentral:rRNA from 1 species